GCCCUCCCCAUGCCGUCUACCGGCUAAACACACCGAGAUAUGAGGACAGGCUCGGUCCGUGACAGCACUGCUACACCAUAGACACCACCGUCGCUUUGUGAACUAUGUAAAAUAAAAAAAGAAAAGAAAGGAAAGAAAAUAUGGAACUAUGCACAUGUUGGCUUUAUACCGCUCUGCAUGAAAAAGCAGAAACGUUAGGAGUGUUCGUGUGAGAAUCUGUGUGUGCGUGCGCGUUCACCGGGGAUUUAACCACGGCGCUCAAACGGGGGACAUAGACGUUUUAUAGCCAAGGAAUACACACAUUAUUUUCGGGGGGCGGGGGAAAUGUGUUUAAUCCUCGUUUCUUUUGAACAUGUUGUGGAAUGUUGCCGAAUUCAUGGGGCUGUUCAAUGUUAAGGAAUAAACACUAAACAGCCCGCUUUUGUUCCCAGCCCGUUGAUUAUAAACACAAACGACGGAAGAUGCCUCAUACCGGUUUUACCUGAAGCUGUUGAGAGAACACCUUAAGAGAACAGCUUCCAGUGAGCAACAUUAUUUUGUAUUUUCAGCUGCUGAAUCUGUAUUACUGUAAUGACUAUAAAGUAAAGAUCAGCAAGUAGGAGAUGGAUGGAAGAAGCAUGCUGACUAAAAACUGACCUAAUUAGAACACACCAGGAAGUGCUUUCUAUGUGUCUGUGAAUCAGACCAAACGGAACAAAAAGCCAGGAGGGAAGGAGUUUUUUUAUCAUGGCGACUGACCCAGGAGAGCCCACCGGCACGGAGGACUCAUCCGGAGAGCAACCUGAUGGAGAGAGAGGGGAAGAGAACGAGUGGACAGGGAACCAGUCAGCCAGCCAAAGGGAAAGCAGGACUUCGGAGAGAGGGGCUGGAAAUGAGGAAGCAUCAGGAGCAAAAGCAGCAGGUGUUGGGAGGGAAGAAGGAGAAGCAAACAAGGCACGAGAGCAAACAUCUCUUCCGAAGCCUGAGAACAAGCGCUUCUUUCGGAAGAGUGUGGAACUCUGCGAGAAGGAUGAGGUCUUGGAGGAGGAGGAGGGCCUUCAUAGUGUCUCUCACCCUGAGCUCCAUGACUCAGACUCUGUCUUCAGUGCCGGAACUCAGCAUGUCCCCGCUGAUGGCACCCAUGGUGGCGGCCUAGACCUAGAAAAGGGAGCCCCGUCGGUCCCCAGACUAAAGGGAAAGGAGCGCGAGUCUGAGCAGGAGGAGGAGGCUGAAAUGAAAGCUGUGGCCACAUCACCUGGUGGCCGCUUCCUUAAGUUCGACAUCGAACUUGGCCGAGGUGCUUUUAAGACGGUUUAUAAAGGCCUGGACACAGAGACGUGGGUGGAAGUGGCCUGGUGUGAACUACAGGAUGGGAAGCUGACCAAGGCCGAGCAGCAGCGCUUCAAAGAGGAAGCUGAGAUGCUCAAGGGUCUACAGCACCCAAACAUCGUGCGUUUCUACGACUUCUGGGAGUCAACUCUCAGAGGAAAGAAGUGCAUCGUCCUUGUCACCGAGCUAAUGACCUCUGGAACACUCAAAACAUACCUUAAGCGCUUUAAAGUUAUGAAGCCGAAAGUGUUGCGCAGCUGGUGCAGGCAAAUCCUGAAGGGGUUGCAUUUCCUGCACACACGGACGCCACCCAUUGUGCACCGUGACUUAAAGUGUGACAACAUCUUUAUCACAGGCCCCACAGGCUCAGUGAAGAUCGGAGACCUAGGCCUGGCAACGCUCAUGAGGACCUCCUUUGCCAAGAGUGUGAUCGGUACCCCAGAGUUCAUGGCUCCAGAGAUGUAUGAGGAACACUAUGAUGAGUCUGUGGAUGUCUACGCCUUUGGCAUGUGCAUGCUUGAGAUGGCUACAUCUGAGUACCCUUAUUCUGAGUGUCAAAAUGCUGCCCAGAUCUACCGCAAGGUCACCAGUGGGAUCAAGCCCGCCAGUUUUGAUAAAGUGAAUGAUCCAGAAAUUAAGGAGAUCAUUGAGGGCUGCAUUCGUCAGAACCGAGGCGAGCGGCUUUCCAUUAAGGACCUGCUCAACCAUGCAUUCUUUGGUGAGGACACAGGUGUGCGAGUGGAGUUGGCGGAAGAGGACACAGGCAAUCAGGACUGUCUGGCUCUGCGUAUUUGGGUGGAGGAGCCUAAAAAACUGAAGGGCAAGCACAAAGACAAUGAGGCCAUUGAGUUCAGUUACAACCUUGAGAAUGACAGUGCAGAGGAAGUGGCGUUAGAGAUGGUCAAGUCUGGGUUUUUCCACGAGAGUGACGCAAAGGUUGUGGGAAAGUCUAUUCGAGACAGGAUAACUCAGAUUAAGAAGUUCCGCGCAACACGACAGCAGCGAGCUCUAGAGGAGAGACGGGACUCUGGCCUGGUUUCUGCUUCCCUUACCACCAGUUUUACUUCUUUCUCCUCCUCCAUGGGUCCUGGGGCUGUUCCUACUGCUGCCGCUGUGGGGGUCACUGGAGGGCACAGGGAGGGAGAGGACCUGCCAGAGAUGGAGAAACAUACUCGACAACACAUCCCCAUCAGCAACACCCAAGGACUCAUGGAAACAGAGAACUUCUCUGCAAUCAGUGGAGAAUCCUUUGCAGGUGCACAGAGCCAACCCUUUUCAUCAGCAGGAGACUCUGGAAUCUCUUUUGUGAACACACAAAGUAGCUAUCCCACUGGGACAUCUUCACUGGCCCCAUAUCCCACAGACAUAACACAAACAGCACUCCCCCAGCCAGGAGAGGCAGUUACUUCUCAUGCUUCUCUUAUACAGACACAGUCAUACUUAACCCCUCUUUCACCCCAGGCCUCCAUUAGCACUCUUUCUGCAGAGCCCAUAGGAUCAUCUUUUAGCAACCUGAUGCCACAAAAUCAACAGAGCCAGCAUAAUGUUGCACCUCUGCCACAGACCGAAAAUUUGCCAAAACAAACUGUAGUUCAAGCACAACAACAGAUGAUAGAUCUGCAGACUACACUGCUACAACAACAGCAACAACAACCACCACAACCAUCACAACAGCAGGCAGUUGCAUUACAACAGAUGGAGCAAAUGCAAAAGCAGGGCCUUUUGAUGCAACAACAUCCUCCUUCUGCUGGAAUACCACCCCAGAUAGAGAAUCCACCAUUAGUGUUGCCGGAGCAGCCAAGUGUACCACAGCAGCAAUACAGACCACAGCAACAGCAGACUUUGGUGCACCCUCAGCAGAUAGAGCCACAGCAACAGGUAUUUGCACAGCAACAUGUGGGAGUACCUAAACCACAGCAAACUGUAAUUCAACAGCAAGUCCAACAGAAAGCAUUCAUCCAGCAACUCUCAGUGGAACAACAGCAGCAGGAACCGCAGUUGUUUUUGCAACACCACCAUCAACAGAUAUAUGUGCCAAGUCAGGCUGAACUCCAAAAGUCAGCCAUGAUGCAAUCGACUCCUCAGCAGUUACCACUUGCAGAGCAACAGCAGGUAGUGCAUGGUAUACCGCAAAUAGAACAGCAGAAACAACACCAAAUCUAUACACAACAACAGAUAGAGCAGCAAGAAAUACAAAUUCAAAAACAGCAGCAAAGUUCUGCACUGACACAGCAGAUGGAACAACAGAAUUCGCAGUUGCUGCAGCAGGUACAACAACAGCAGGCUAUUUUACAACAGGCAGGGGGUGAGCAGCAGCGACAGGCACUAUUGCAGCAGCACUUGGAGCAACAAGAGGCUCUGUUACUACAACAACAAAUUCUUUUACGCCAACAACAGUUUGAACAGCAAAAUCAACCACAUUUAGAACAACAGAACAUAGUAAUACCACAACAGACAGAGCAACAACCACAACAAAUGGAACAAGAAGCUUUAUUGCAAAAGCGUCUAGAAGAACAGCAAAAGCAAGCUUUUUUACAGCAACAACAGCAACAAAUGCAACUCCUGCAACAACAACAGCAGUUAGAGCAAAAUCAAGUUCUUUUGCAGAAGCAGCACCAAAUGGAUCAUCAACAAAGUUUACUGCAGCAACAACAGUUUGAACAACAGCAGUCUGUACUGCGGCACAUUUCACAAUCUCAACUUACACAAUCACAAAUGCAGCAACAGUCAGAGCAACAAGCCUUUCAGUCACAGAUUGACCAAAGGCAGCAUAUGUUAGUACAACAGCAUAGAGAACUACAGAUGCAACAGCAGGCUCUAGUGCAACAACACCAACAAAAUACAGAGCCACUUCAGGCACUACCCACAGAACACAAGGAAAAGGAACAGCUUCAGCAGCAAGCUUUACUUUUACAAGAGACACAUUUGGACCAGCAAGCUGUGACUCUUGAGACUGUUCAACAGCAGCAGCAUGCUCUAAUUGAGCAACAGCAGGAACAGAAGCAGCGUCAGCAGCAUGCUGCAAUUCUACAACAGCAAAUACUGUUGAACCAACAAGUACCCCUUGGCCAACAUCACAGUGGUGGACAACAGAAAACUGUUUCUCUUGAGUCUAUUCAGCAGCAGCAGGGUAUGCUCAGUCAACAGCAGGAUCAACAGCUUCAACAGCAAGCUUUGUUUUUACAACAGUCAAGCCAACAAGUAGCCAUUGGGCAAAAUCACAGUGGACAACAGCAAGCUGUUACUCUUGACACUGUUCAGCAGCAGGCUUUACUCAAGCAACAGCAAGAUCAGCAGCAUCUUCAACAGCAAGCUUUGUUUUUACAGCAGCAACAACGACAUUUGAACCAACAUGUAGCCCCUGGACAACAGCAGGUUGCCACUUUUGAGAUUGUUCAACAGCAACAGCAGAAUCUAUUAAAGCAACAGCAGGAUCAGCUGGAUCUUCAACAUCAAGCUUUGUUCUUGCAACAGAAACAACAGUUGGACCAACAAGUAGCCACAGGGCAGCAACACAAUAGACAACAGCAAACUACAGGUCUUCAAACUGUUCAACAUCAGCAGCAGGUUUUACUUCAGCAUGAGCAGCAACAGCAAGUCUUGUUACUACAACAGCCCCUUCAGUCUCACAAAAGUAUUACUCAACACAUCAUAGAGCAAAAGCAACAAGAAUUUGUUCAGCAACAAGCUGUUCUCUCUGGGCAGCAAGAUGGAAUUUCUGUUGUGGAGUCGCAGGUAACAAUUGUUGGUCAGUCAGCAUCACAAAUGGUUACCUCCCAAAUUUCAAGUCAGUUACAAACCCCUGUACACAUUGACCAGCAUGCACCACCUCUGUCAGCACCUCAAACUCAAGGGCCAAUACAACAAAAAGAAGGUGACGUUACAAAGUUCCAUAGUCAAAGUCCUUUACAGACCCAAAGUCUCUCAGCCCCACAAUCAAUAGUUCCAUCUCUAGCACAGCCUAAUUCCAUCCAGUUAAAGAGUCCUCAAGCCUUCCCAGCUACAAUACAAAUUCAGGAUUUAGCACAGCCUCAAGUACAGGCCCAGACAUAUGUCCCAAAUGAGGCACAGGCUCAAAUGCUCAUACAAGGACAAGUUAUACCUCAUCAAACCAUGACUCCUGUUCUUUGUCAGGUUCCAGCAGUACCACCAUCAUCUCAGAUAUCAAACCAAAUUCAGUCUCAAGGUCAGCCCCCUUCUGCCUUACUCACAAUGCAGUAUCUUCAAGCCUCACAACUUGGUCAACACAGCAUUCAGCCAGUCCAGAUUGACUGUGCACAGGGUACAAAACAACAACAGCAGUUUCACCAAAUAGUGCUGUCUCCAGUAACAGUGCCAAGUACCAUUGCUGUGUGCUCAGCUGGUGUAGUUCCUGCUACAGUAAAUACCACACAGCAAUACUUACCGCAGACAGGCCAGGCUCAAAAUCAAGUUCAAGCACAGACACAGCCUACCCUGCAGGGACAGCAACAGCCAGGUGGCAUCACCAUUCAGACUGUCAUGCAGUCCAUGCCCCUUAUGCAACCUGAAGUUCCUCAACAGUAUGAACAGCAAGCACAAACAGUCCAGCAGGGGCAGCAGCAGCCAGUACAGGUCCAGUCACAGAUUUUGUCAUCUAUUCAGCAACCUUCACCAUCCCACCAAACUCCUGUGGCACUAGAUCUCAAUCAACAGUCAUCUCCUUUACCAUCUGCUUUGCAGCCUGUGGUUCCAUCACACGACAUACCAAGGCAACCAUGUCAAACACAAGUUCGGCCUGCUGCACUUUACAGUCAUGUUGUAGCUGGCCUACCACCUUCCCCACAACACCAUCCUCAAUCAAUCUCGCUUGCCCAUACUCGCAGCCAGACAAGCACUCAGUCACAGACAUGUACCCACAUACAGGCACAUGUUCAAUCACAGACUCUCUCACACACAGACGUAUUCACUGAGACUGCAGGCACAUCUGUGCAACCACUGUACUCCCAAGUUCCCCUGCAAUCCCUCCAGAUACCCUCCAGUCCAUCUCGUACCUCCCUCAACACUACCAACUUAUCAGGCUCCCAGCUUGCCCCCACCGCUUCAGAAGUCCCAGUGCCAGCUGAGGCACAGCAAAGCCAGGCUGGGCUAACUGAUAUAGCUCUGACUUCCCUUCCUCCCAUCAGUGCUUCACAGCUCUCUGGUUCUAAUGGCACUGCCCUUCCCCCAAACUUGCUGACCGACUGUGACCCUGCAUUGUCAGGCAUUGCACAGGGGAGUCCAAACCAAUCUGCCCACCGACAUUCUUUAGUAGGUAGAGAGGAAUCUCAGUUACCCUUGGUUAAUGGAAAGCUGGAGAAGAUAAAGAAUCAGCGGAGGUCUUCCUACCAACGACCUGAGAGAACCACUCACUUUCAGCUAAGCAUGCUGCAGGUGUCAAACAGUGGAGACAACAUGGUGGAGUGCCAGCUCGAAACUCACAGUAACAAGAUGGUCACAUUCAAGUUUGAUAUUGAGGAAGAUGCCCCUGAAGAUAUAGCAGAUUACAUGGUGGAAGAGGACUUUGUCCUUGAAUCAGAAAAAGAAAAAUUUGUAGAAGACUUGAGGGCUAUAGUGAAGAAAGCCCAGGAGAUCCUAAGUACCCAGUCAAAGACGGGAUCCAUAGAACAGCUACAUGUAAGCACUCCAUCAAGUUCAACAGUAGAUUCUGCCCCUCAGUCGUCUCCUGUGGGUCGCUGGCGAUUUUUCAUCAACCAGACCAUUCGUCAUCGUGACACUCAGUCUAAUCGUGAAGGGUCCACUCCUUCACCAGCAGGGGAGAGCCAGGGCCAGAUUGAGCAAGCUUUAGACCAUGCAGAUUCACAGCAGUCAGACACUCUCUCUGGAGUACAUUUUUCUUCAUGUUCCACAAUGCCCUAUGUUCCUCCCUCCACUGUUUCUGUCCAAACCUCAGAUAGUGCUGUCUCUAUUCCUGGAAUGACUGCCAUGGACUCUACCAACUCUAUUCCAUCAAUGCUUCAUAUGUCCCCAGGAGAUGCAGUCACUCAAGACAUAGCAGCUACCACCCAGCCAGGGUUGGGGAAAGGGUCUGCACCCAGUAUUCAAGCCACGGUCCCCAGCCAAACCUCUUCUAUUCAUGUUACAUCUUUUCCUGUGGCUGAUCCUGUCCAUACCUUUGCAUCUAGCAAGGAUAUGAGCAGUGGUUCCAGUUUUGGCCUAGGUUCAGAAGAUGCUGCUGCUAUUAUACACAGCAUGCCUGAAGAUCAAAUGCCACUCUCUGGUAGUUUAAAUCAGAGCGCCCUGUCAUCUUGCUUGUUAAAUCAAAGGGAACAAGUGCAACAGUUAACCCAAGGGCCCUCAGUUCAGAAACCUGAGAUACUUCAGCAAGGCCUGCAAUCUCAGCCACUCAUAGAAGUCUAUUCAGUACAGCUUCCAAAGGGCAACACUGAUCAAUCUCAGAUGCAGCAGCAGCAUCUGCAACAGCAGCAACAGUUGCAACAGACUAUGCCAAUGGCAACAGUGUCCCACUACCCAGCCCAUGACAAACAUGUCUCAGUGGCAGAGCAAACAAUGCAGCCCUUUGAAGCUGAACAUCCUGCAUCUCAUUUCCAUCCAGUACAACAGUCAGUUCUACAGCAAGUCCCAUAUCAACAGGGACAGUCAGAACUUCCACUGGAACCACUAGGCCAUAACAGUAUUCAGUUACAGUCCAAUGCCACUCUGGAACAGAUGCAGCUGCAUGGUGUCGUGCAACAACAGGCAGUUCCACUACAGCAGUAUGUGCAGCAGGAAACUGUGCUGCACCCUAAAAUACUGGCUGUACAAUCUCAGCCAAAAUUAGAAACACAAGAACCCUUUCUGCAUAGAGCACAGUCUUUGAUCUCAAGUCAGGUCCCUCCUGAGAAACCACAACCCCAGCCUAAGCUCGAGCAGGUGCCUCAGCCUGCAUCCCUGCUUGUGCAGAAGCAGCUCUCCAUCCAGCAACUGGAAACAGAGCUCUCUACAGGAAAGGUCACUGCCACAGAUGACACUUUAAGUGAGUCUGCUCCUUUGCAACCACUGUCUGAUGCCUCUCUCCCCCCACUCUCUCUCUCUGAGACAGCUUUGCCAGCUCUGGCUCAUGUUCUCUCCCCUUCUCCUGCCCAGCCUUCUUCAGUAGCUGAGUCAGACAGUGAGGGACCCCCCAAAAUUGAGUUUGUUGACAACCGUAUAAAGACACUGGAUGAGAAGCUGAGGAAUCUGCUCUAUCAGGAACACAGUGGCAGCGGGGCCACUAUCUGCACCCCCACUCCUGACCCGGCUUCUUCCUCAGCUACAGCUGCUGUGUCAGCCAGGGGAGAGGAGUCAUCUGAGUCUCAAUCAGUGCCACCCUCCACCUUCCCACUUCCUCCUGCCUGCUCUUCAGACACUUCUCCACAUUUCUCCUCUUGCACUACCUCCUCCACUACCUCUCGUUCUUCCUCCACCUCAUCAGACAAAGAAAGGGAGAGAACAGGAGAAGAGUGCAUUGGUCAGAGUGUUCCAGCCCCCUCCACCGCUGUGGAGCACCAACCUGCCUCAUCCUUCUCCUCCACUUCUCCACUCUGCUCCCUCCUUUCCCCUCCACAGGAGACGGUGCCUGGACCUAUUUCUCCACCCAGUGAAACUGCAGUCCUUGCUGUCCCCUCCCCUUCUGACAGUGCAGCCGUAGAGGUCCUCCAGCCUUCCUUCUCCCAGCAGUCCAUUGCACCAGCAGCCGGGCAGCAGCAGCAGCAGCAGCACAAUGCAGGAGGUGGAUAUUUUGGCCUAAACCUGACUUGUCCUAGUAUCAGAAAUCCUGUUAGCAAGAAAUCCUGGACUCGCAAAUUCAAAAGCUGGGCGUGCAAACUGCGCCACUCCACCAGCUUGUUCAAGAAGCCCAGAGUCCAGCAAGAUGAGAAUUCUAGCAGUCAGAGAGCGAAAGAGGAUAAAGAGACUCCCUCAAAAACCAAGCCAUGUUUGCACAGAGGACGUUUCCAGGUGACCCCAGUCACCCAGCCUGAGGACCCUACUCCCACAGCAGAGGAAGCAGCGAAUAACAGUGUUCCCAAGACUGUGGGACGCUUUUCCAUCAUGAAGGCAGAGGAAAAAGAGGAGCAGCUCACCGACAGCUCACCUGUGUCUCCAGACCUGGAGAAAGAUAGGAGGAAGACAAAAGUGAAGGACGGAGAAAAGGACGAAAGGACAUUUCCAGUGGGCUUUCACCAUCCAGCACGUAGCCACACACACUCUCCGACAGGAAGCAGUGAUGAUGAGAGUGAGGUGGAGGACGAGGACCUAAGGAGGGAACUGCAGAAACUAAGAGAAAAACACAUCAAGGAGGUGGUGUCACUACAGGCACAGCAGAAGCAAGAACUACAGGAGCUCUAUAGGCAACUGCGAAGUCUGAAAGAUUGUUAUCAGCCCCCUUCAUCCCCUGCAACAUCACUGGCCAUUUCUCCCCGCAGACCCCGCCCCUCCAAACCAAAACCUCGCCCUCGCCCCCAUUCCCACACUGACAACAAUGGAGUCACACACCAAGGUUCUCUCCAGCAAUCUAGCAGUUACUCCGGUGAAGAGCCAAGCAGACUACAAUCUUACUGCAGACCUGAAAAAACAGCUUCACUGACCUCUAAGACAGCCCAUGGUUCAUCCAAUAAAGAGAGCACCUUCACAGACAAACUGCACAAACUAGUAGAUGAUUGGACUAAGGAGGCCAUUGGACCCGCCAACCCCAAACCUUCACUUAAUCAGCUCAAGCAAAUUCAGCAAGCACAGGAUCUAGGUGGCUGGAACCAGCUCACCGAGGCUUCACCCGCAGCCUGGUUCCCCACCACUUCCCUAAACCCCAGGAGUACUCCUGGAUCAGCCAGUAGCACAGGAGGCCAUGCCCUUCCAGCCUCCACUCAGCCCUCUGUCCCACCUGCAUCACAGCAGAGCCUGCAAAUGCAGACCCAGUCCCUUCAGCCGCUUCAGUAUGGCCAGCCCAGCAUGCCGACAUCUAGUCUACCCACCUCUCUAGCAUCACACUGCACUCCUUCCUCUACAUCCAUGCCAGCCCCAGCAACCACCAUCGCCUCCACCUCCACAACCUCCGUCUACUCCUCCACAAACGCGUGAUACUUCUUCUCCACUAGGAAAACGGUAUGAAAGGAUGGGGCAGGAGAGUAAAGAUUGAGAAUGUGAAAGCCAAACAUGAAUUCUAAUUCUUCUGGGCGUGCACAUAUAUAAAUAAAGGUUUUAAGAACUUUUUGACAUUUAUCUUUUUUUUUCUUUUUCUUUUUUUUAAAACAAUUCUAGGAAAAAGGACUAUUUGAAAAUUUUAAAAGUGCAAUUAGUAACCAAGAUUUGAAUUCAUCCUUCUUCUUCAUCGUAAUGUGUGUCUGUAUAGCCGAACGAGAUAUUUUUUGAGACAGAAACUAAACAGAAAGUUGCCAUUUUAAGAGAAUAGAGCACAAAACGUCUUAACAAGCAGUGAGAGCAAUCGCAUGUUCCACAACAGAGCAUGAAGACAGUUACCUCGGAGCCAUGGCCCUCAGCCAUGUGACCAACUUGAACACUGUUUUACCAUGUAAUGCACGGCAUGUUCAUAUUUCCUCUAUUUUACACAGAUUGAUAUUUGUAUUAAUAACCAUUUUUGGUAAUAACCUGAAUAUUCCGACUAAUUAACAUUAAGUCCAAAUUGAUUUUAACCAAGUAUUCCAGAGUGAAACCUGGACGAGCUCUCCAAAUUGUCCAGUUCAAUAGAAAUGCAAAGCAGCUCUGAUGAUAGCAGUAUUUCCUAUUUCUCAUCAGCAGAUUCCUCUCUUCAGAUCAUUAAGUAAAGCUGUACAGAACUUGGAGGUUUCAGCUUCAGCUGGAGGAAAGUUUGCUAAGUCUUGUGUGUUUUGCACAGUUCCCGACAACCCUCUAGCACACCAAACUCACUGCAUGCUGAGAAAUGUACAGUGGCCAGUUUGUUGGUUUCAGCCAUGUUCUAUCCCGGGUUCAGAAGUCAGCUCGGUUCUUGACAAUGUGCUCAUUGUGACUGACGGGUCUAUAUGCAUCCAUCAAUGGGGGGAUUUAGCAGUUAGACAUGGCUGCAACACAAUGAUGCUCUUCACAGUGAACAAGAAAGCCAUGCAGAAGCUCUGCAGCAAGCAGCGAUUCACUGUACUCUCUAUACGACGAGCUGCAGGGUCUCUUCUGUUUACCACUACAACUGGCUCCAACCGUACCUAUUCCUAUAGCAUUUAAAGAAGGUUUCAAUUGGUACCCAUUGAAAGCAUUUCAGUCUAUUUUAUGCAAGUUUCCUAAAACUAGCGUCCUAGCGUCAUUAUACGCACAAUAAUGCUAAUAAUAUCUCCUUUCAGGGGCAUUACCAGUACUAAGACUAUUUUUUUGAGCCUCAUUUACAUUAUGCACCACCGUUUCUUCAGUGCAUACAUAAACAGUUUCUAAUAACCCUUUGUUCUUCAUGGUCAACUGGACAUUUGUAAUUAUUAACGCAAAGUCAGAGGAACACAACAAUAAAGCUUGAAAACAACCUGGGGGGUAUAUUGUAAAUGCUCUCAGCUUCUGUUUCAUUGUUGUUUUUAAUAUUUUAUAAUGUAUUAGCUAGCAAUUCUUUACAUAUUUCCUUGCCACUUCAAUUAUAACUUCUUUUUAGUUCAGUGCCAGAACUAAUGAACAGGCAAUACAUAUAGGAAGACAUAGGGGUUAAGACUAGCUUCUGUCCAGGCUGAAAUAUGUUUGCUUUGUAUAGGAGGCAGCAGGUGAAUGUGCACCUUGUAUAAUAUGAAUGUGUACACUCACCGUCCAUAACGCCUGUACAUUUAUUCACUUAUCUAAUCAGCCAAUCACGUGGCAGCAACGUAAUGCAUGAAAUCUAGCUUUGGUUAAUGUUCACAUCAAACAUCAAUAUAGUGAAAAAGUGUGAUUGCUGUGAAUUUAACCACGGCUACUCGCCAAACUACAUGGAUGAUUAGAUACGGCAUGAAUGUACAGUUGUACAAGUUUUCCUAAUAAAGUGGACAGUGAGAGCAUGUGUACAAUUUUAUUGUGUGUUUUAUUUAGUGCCCAUCAAAAUCUUAUCAUUAGUGUGGCACUGAAUUUAUUCCAAUUUCAUUUUUAAAAAACUAGGCAAAGUUCUUAUGAGCCAGAUUCAGAAAAGCUAUGAUGAUCUCUAUCUAAAGAAUUAUUUUAAGCGCAAUCCAAAAGUGUAUUCAAAAAAAGGACAAAAGGUCAUACACAAUAGGCUGUUAGGACUUCAGAGUGAACUGGUAUCAUUCAAACAACAAAAAACAAAGGGUCAAACCACAGGCAAGGCGAAUCUCAACAACAUGGCUCAUAGCGUAGAAGUCUAGAGCACUCUUAAUGACAGGAAGACUAAUGUGAGCUAAUGUGUUUUAUUAGCUCAUGACCAGGAAGUGACCAUAGAACUUUGAACUGUUGUGAUGGUAAAAUUAAUAUGGUCCUAUUAAUUAGAACCUUUUAACUAAAAAGCUUUAGAAACAAAAUUAAUAUUGAAGAAGCAGUUUUUAGUUUAGUGCAGUGUAAAGUGUUUACUAUGCCUGACCAUCACACUACCAAAGUAAAAAAAAAAAAAAAAAAAAAUCUGAGAUGGAAAUGGCAGUACUGUCAGUAUGGUCUGUAGCUCUGUCAGGUCCUCAACUUCAGCUAGUGAGGUGUGCAGGUUUCUCCCUAAUAUUGGUGAAUAGCUAGAUACAAGUCGACGCUACUAGCUUAUAAACAUUUCAUUAAUAUGGCAGGAGACCUACCUUUUUGCCAAGAUUAAUCAAGGAAAUCACACUUUUCAAACUAUUGUAUACAUCAAGAUCCUUCUAAUUAGUGAAGAACAUGCUAAUACCGCUUACACGGAGCUGUUUGGAGAGUAACAGGAUCAUGCUGCAGCUAUUAAGGAGUGUUCUACUACCAGACUAGCAAACACACAACCAUGGUCAUGUUUAUCGAUGCUUAUUAGCAGGGAAAACUCACAUAGCAGUGGCUGUGUGUUUGUUUGCAACCUAUGCAAAAUUGGACAAAUGAAAAUACUGUCAACAUCCAAAUUUAAUUUUAAGUAUGUAUGAACAUGGGUUGAUUUUAUUUUUAUGUUGUUGUUAAUUGUUGGUGUUUUCUGUUGAAUGAAUGUGACGAAGCAGGGAAACCGUGAAUGAUCAAAAUACCUGUAUGUGUUGGAGUAUAGAAGCUAACCUCGUAUUUAAUCUUGUAUCAGUAAAUCUGAAAUAGCAAACAAUGAUAGCAAUUAUUAUUCAUAUUCCCAUCCAAACAUACCUAUUUAAUGCACUGACUGAUUUUAAUUCAU